AUUGAACGCUGGCGGCAGGCCUAACACAUGCAAGUCGAGCGGAUGAAGGGAGCUUGCUCCUGGAUUCAGCGGCGGACGGGUGAGUAAUGCCUAGGAAUCUGCCUGGUAGUGGGGGAUAACGUCCGGAAACGGGCGCUAAUACCGCAUACGCCCUGAGGGAGAAAGUGGGGGAUCUUCGGACCUCGCUAUCAGAUGAGCCUAGGUCGGAUUAGCUAGUUGGUGGGGUAAAGGCCUACCAAGGCGACGAUCCGUAACUGGUCUGAGAGGAUGAUCAGUCACACUGGAACUGAGACACGGUCCAGACUCCUACGGGAGGCAGCAGUGGGGAAUAUUGGACAAUGGGCGAAAGCCUGAUCCAGCCAUGCCGCGUGUGUGAAGAAGGUCUUCGGAUUGUAAAGCACUUUAAGUUGGGAGGAAGGGCAGUAAGUUAAUACCUUGCUGUUUUGACGUUACCAACAGAAUAAGCACCGGCUAACUUCGUG
rnacentral:rRNA from 1 species